CGCGACGACGUCGUUUUUUCCCCCUCAACACUUAUCAAUGUUUGAUACAUAAAUAUAUAAAGCCAAGGAUAUUCGGCUUAUCGUACAGCACAGUUUUGUUGUAUCCCUAUACGCGGUUUACACGCGUACACUUUAGACGACGAUAACGACCACCUACCGGCUGUUCAGAGAGUUGGUCGUUAUCAGCGCGAUUUGUUUCGCAGCGAGCUGUGGAAAAUAAUCCUCGGGCGGUGCGGCGCCGCAAGAAAAAGCCUUAAGCCAUUGCGUGGCAUUGGCUCGCGCGUGCAAACAAACCUACCCAGCAGCUCUUUCAGGAAUUACGAGCACUCCGUGACAAUUCCCACGCGUUUAACAUGCUAAAACGCCGCGGCUUCUACCAGAACCCCUCUGCCGGUUGAAGGCGGUUUUAAAGUACUGCCACCAUUGUUCCGUGAAGUAGACGAGCAGAAUGGAACCUCUCGCGCGCGAGCUUUCAGGAUAAUAGCGCUGGAGACGUCUCUCGUCCACGGAAAAAAUUCCGCGAGGUAAGCGUCAGCGGACGCGUGGUUUCGAUCUACUCCGAGGAAUCGAUGUCUUUCGUCGGGAGACGAUAAGGACUGGCUGCUGAUGAUGCUUUAAUCGAAUGUGAAAAGAAUGGAGACGCGUUGUGUGUUAAGUGAUAAUCGAGUAGUCGAGGGAAAAAUCUCGUUCUGGAUGUGCUUCGGUACUGAAUUAAUUUAAUUGUCGUCUGAUUUUUGGAGGAUAUACUCGAGGCAAUAGUUCGUUAUAUGGAU
rnacentral:misc_RNA from 1 species